AAAAGAAAAAUGCUGCAAAUAGAAAAAUGCUGCAAAAAGAAAAACACUUGCAAAAAGAAAAAUGCUGCAAAAAGAAAAAUGCUGCAAAAAGAAAAACGCUGCAAAAAGGAAAACACUUGCAAAAAGAAAAACGCUGCAAAAAGAAAAACGCUGCAAAAGCACACAAAGCACAACGGAAAUAGGAAAAAAGACAACGGAAAUGUUUCUGGGGAGACAAUACCCGGACGGACCAGUUGCACGAACCAAAACAUGCUAACAAGUGCACUGGGAGACACUUCAAAGAAGUGGAGCGGCCAAAGAGUAAACUUUCAAAACUUAUCACACAUUUGAUUUCCAUGUGUGACAACUGCAAGUGUCCAGAGUGAGGACAGACUGAGGGACCCACUGCUGCACAUCAUCUGUGAGGCUUUGCACCCCUGAUGAUCCACCAGGACAAACUCAGCAGUGUGUGAGGAAGAGGAGGAGGAAGAGCCAGCAGCAGCUGACAGAUGGAGAGAAUAGACAGACUGUUCCCUGUUUGUGAAGGACUGCUAGGAAAGUUUAAAAUAACUAAUUGUCUGUCCUGAAUCAGUCUUAUUAGGUAAUGUUCAAAUAAUGUUAUCAUUCCAGUGUUUUCAGUGAGGGAGAAAGUACUCAGAGCCUUCAAGUUACACACUAUGAAAGGCAGCACCAAGUUUAAUAUUCAGAAACCUAAAGUAUGUAUCAGCAGCAGAAUGGAGCUAAAAAUAAAUGUUUGUUUCAGUUCUAUGAAGCUUUGAGUAUUUUGGAUUAGUAGUACUGCUGUGUUUGUUGCAUCAUAUUGCUGUAAUUGUUUAUAUGCUUUAUAUAUUCUGAGGUAAGUUGAUCUAUAGUGUUACAUCAUAUUCUAUAAGGAUGUUAUGUGUUUGUGUACUUUCUGCCCAGUUUGACCCAUUUAGCAGAAGUCAGCCUGUUUAAGGCUCUGAUAUCUAUUCUAUAUGACUUAAAGCAGUUAUGACAUGGUCUGAUUUUCUCACCCAAUAAAGGAAUAUUUAAUAUUUCAGUCUACUCUUCAUUCUAUCAGAAACAGUUAUCACAGCUCGUACAUUUGCUUCUUCCACACAUAUAUAAGCAUUGAGCCAAAUUUAGUAAUGC
ensembl:lncRNA